rnacentral:lncRNA from 1 species
CAUGCCUUCUGCAGUGUUCUAUGAGUCAUAUGGUUCAUCCUGAUUUAGGCUGUAAGCAGAUUGCAUCAUGGCGCGGAUACCAGGAGUCCAUUUUGUGUUGCUCUAGAGGAACAUCUGAGGCUGCGCAAUCUCUAAGGAAAAGAGGUUUAUUUGGCUCACUGCUCUGUGGGCUGUACAAGAAGCAUGGCACCAGCAUCUGCUCCUGGUGAGAGGCUCAGGCUGCUUCCACUCAUGGCAGAAGCUUGCUCUGGCUAACAACCACUAUCAUCAAAGUUGUCUGAGGAAGACCUCCUGUUGCUGUGACUGACGGGACUCUUGGUGGAAGCCCUAUUCCCAUGUGCCCAUGGCUGCAGCUCCCCAAGGAAGCAGGACAUUGUUGGAUUCUCUAAGAAGCUCAGAGGAAGUUACUUCUCACUGUGGUGCCAUAUGGGAUUUGAAGUCGUUCUACUCAUGCUCUGUUUUUCAAUAAAGCUGCUUCUGCCUCU